GACUUAGGAUUUGAGCAUCUUUCUGUUAUGCUGUUGCCCCACUCCUAUUGCAAUACUCCCCUUCUUAAGAAAGUUUUUCUAGACUAAUGUCUAGAUUAAACUUCUUUUCUUUGACAAUAAUGAUGCCAUGACUUGGACAAAAUGCCCAUUGCCUCUGGGUCCUGCUUUCUUCACCCAGUGCUGCCUUAUUGGACUCCUUGUGCCUCUCCUUGGCUGGGGAAAUCAGAAUACACAGUGGUAUCCCACUUCUAAGAUGCCUGAUCUGAAGGACAGUAAAACAACUGACCUUUGCCAGCAUGUAAAACACAUGGUUUAACUAGUCCUCCAGGAACAACACUGAGCAAUCCUGACCUGGGACUACUUUACUCGGCCAUCUCCUACUUGAGAUGCUCCUUGUCUCUCUGUUCAAGGACACCUUUUCUGAGCCUUUCUUGAACAAGAGUGGAGGACCGAUAGGGCGAUUAAACUGUCCUUGACACAACUUUAGAGCUUCAACUGAGAAUCUAGAAGAGAGUAGAUGGAAAAAUAUUUUUCCCUCCCCUCCAAAUGCAAGGAUAAUCUUACACGAGUCCAGGAGGAAGGCUCAUUCCACACUAAGUGUUCUGAAUCAAAAAGAUGAACAAAAUACAGUGCCAUUCUUCAAGGACUUCACAGUCUACAGGAAAGGGAUAUAGUUAAACAAAUAACUGCAGAAUUGGAAAUUGGAGCUGAUGUGCUUAGAAGUGUUUUGAACAAGGGGCAUGACUGUGACUCUCUCUGCUUUUGCAAGCUUCAGGAAAACCUUUACUCACAGUUGAAAAUACAGAGCCUCAGGGUGAAGCCCUAACUUCCCACAGCAGAUGGGGUCUAUGAGGAGGAAGAAGUAGACGCAUGGACCAGUCCUGUUAUGAAGACAAGUUUCAUGGUGCUACUCUGUCUCCAUGAGCUCCUAUGGCCCAGAAGCUGGCAUCCUGUGAGUGGAAAAGCAAGUCACAUCCAUGCUGAGGUUUUAAGAGAAGCAAACCAGGAGUGCUUUGAUGGAAUGACAACUCACUUUUGGAAGUGGACAGACUAGAAGGGAGGUGAACUUGGCUGAGUCAGCUCUCUGCCACCAAGGCAACCCUGAACUGACAGCUACCUGUCGAUGGCUCUCCCAGGAGGUGAGGAUGCAAAUCCUUUUUUAAAAGGGGAUCUGAGCAUUGGAGAGUCCACCAAACAUGGGAUGAAGAAAUGCUAAAAUGAAAAGCGGAAUUACAAGAAAGAUGUAUCUGUGUCUUUCAUUCCUGGAACACUGGGGGAAUGUAAAAGAAGGUGCAUUAAUGGAAGAGCAUCAUCCCAGAUUCUUGCACUUCUCCAUAGAUGCAUCUAAUCCAGCCUGUUCUAGGAGUCUUUCUAGGAAAUCAUCAAACCUGAGUGUGGUCUUGGAGACCCUAACACAGAUAAGGAAUUCGUCUCGUCAAGUUGGAUGUUCAUAAUGUCUUCUCACAUUUCAAUCAGGUUCCACACCCAUGAAACUGGCCCUGCGUGUACCAUUCAUACUCCCGUCAAGAAAAAUUUGCCAUUCAGUUCAAGAAAUGCAGUUAAUUGACAGUCUUCGGUUGCAGCCUGUUUAGGAUUCAUUUCAGCUUUUGAGCCAACGCCAAGCUUGUCCCAGCCAGGUCUCAGCCAACGAUGAAGUGUAUGUAGUGGGAAUCCUAUGACUGGGCCAUUUCUGCCCUUCCAGGUCUCUUCUGUUGAGCAGUCUUUGCUCCAGAGUGCCCUGUUGAUUUGACUGAGCCAUAGUCAGAUCGGCAUCCUGGUCUGAAGUUCUCCUUGCCUAAUCCCGCUUCCAUCUACCUUUCCAUUCUUGGACGUCUUCUCUGUUUGACACUCUGAAGGCUUUCCUAGCCCAAUCCUGUUUCCACUCCCUCCAUGGUUCACGGCAUUACCCUCCAAUAAACCUCGUGUAUCCCCAACUCCAUCUCAGUGUCUACUUCCCAGAGGACCCAACAGACACAGCAUCUUGAUUUUACAUUGUAUAAGAUAAUGCAAUUCACCUUCUUAUAUCACCUUCUAACUGUCUUCCUUCCCUAAGCCCCUGCCAUCACUUUCUGAUUUCUGAUUCUUUCUACUAUACCAUGAUUUCUAUAUUGCCAGUCCGUAUUAAUGUUUAUCUCCAAAAUGUAUAUUUAAAUGUUAUGCUUUGAUUGUGUAAAUAUACAUAAUAUGCAUGUUCUAAAAACUGAAAAACA
ensembl:lncRNA LINC00861 long intergenic non-protein coding RNA 861